GAGUUAUACAGUCAGAUGAUCUCCUAGACUGCCUCUUCUUUGCUGUGAAGAGUUCCCAGCAGACAUCUAGCAUGUUAAAGUCACCCAUGAGAACAAGGCCUGGCGACUUUGGGACAUCCACUAGCUGCUUGUAGAAAAAUUCAUCACCCUCAUCAUCCUGGUUGGGUGGUCUGUAACAGAUUCCCACCAGGAUGUC